GACAAAUGGUUAAGGCAGCUUUGGUGAAAUAGGUGUUGGGAGUUCAAAUUACCUCCAAGAGAAGAACCCCAAACUGAGGUCCUGCAAGUCUGCGCUAACCAUUGAAUGGUUGGAUGAGGUGCCCAGCUUGAUACGAAAGCUGGGAACAGGUUCUAGAAAAAGAUUCCAUAUUGCUUUGGAUGUCACAUUCAUGCCUUUGGGAAAUAGUGUAAGUGCUCUCCUUUGUAAACCAUGCAAUAAGGAAGCUACAAAAUGUCUGAUCUACCUGAACUCAGCAAUAUGACUGCACAUGAUGCUGGACAGUGUGGCCUGGAGGGCACGUGCAACAACAGAAGGCAAAUGAUUUUAUGGAGGU